UACGUAGGGGGCAAGCGUUAUCCGGAUUUACUGGGUGUAAAGGGAGCGUAGACGGAACGGCAAGUCUGAAGUGAAAGCCCGGGGCUCAACCCCGGGACUGCUUUGGAAACUGUUGAUCUGGAGUGCUGGAGAGGCAAGUGGAAUUCCUAGUGUAGCGGUGAAAUGCGUAGAUAUUAGGAGGAACACCAGUGGCGAAGGCGGCUUGCUGGACAGUAACUGACGUUGAGGCUCGAAAGCGUGGGGAGCAAAC
rnacentral:rRNA from 1 species